rnacentral:rRNA from 1 species
UUCCGGUUGAUCCUGCCGGAGGCUACCGCUAUUGGAGUUCGAUUAAGCCAUGCGAGUCGCGAGUCUUAGGGACUCGGCGUACCGCUCAGUAACACGUGGGUAACCUGCCCUAUGCUGGGGGAUAACCUCGGGAAACUGAGAAUAAUACCCCAUAGUUCACCACGCCUGGAACGGUGGGUGGACCAAAGCUCCGGCGGCAUAGGAUGGGCCUGCGGCGUAUCAGGUUGUAGGGGGUGUAAUGUACCCUCUAGCCCUCUACGCGUACGGGUGUUGAGAGACAUCGCCCGGAGAUGGAUUCUGAGACACGAAUCCAGACCCUACGGGGUGCAGCAGGCGCGAAAACUUGGCAAUGCGAGAAAUCGUGACCAGGGAACUCCAAGUGCAUCGGGUAAGACCGAUGCUUUUCUUGACUCUUCAAAGGUCUUGGAAUAAGGGGUGGGUAAGGACGGUGCCAGCCGCCGCGGUAAUACCGGCGCCCCAAGUGGUAGUCGCUUUUAUUGGGCCUAAAACGUCCGUAGCCGGUCUGGUACAUUCGUGGGUAAAUCAACCAGCUCAACUGGUUGAAUUCUGCGAGCACGGCCAGACUUGGGACCGGGAGAGGUGUGGGGUACUCUCAGGGUAGGGGUAAAAUCCUGUCAUCCUGAGGGGACCACCUGUUGCGAAGGCGCCACACUAGAACGGAUCCGACGGUCAGGGACGAAGCCUAGGGGCACGAACCGGAUUAGAUACCCGGGUAGUCCUAGGUGUAAACGCUGUGGACUUGAUGUUGGGGGCGCUCCGAGCGCACUCAGUGUCGAAGCGAAGGUGAUAAGUCCACUGCCUGGGGAGUACGGUCGCAAGGCUGAAACUUAAAGGAAUUGGCGGGGGAGCACCGCAACCUGAGGAUUGUGCGGUUUAAUUGGAUUCAACGCCGG